rnacentral:lncRNA from 1 species
AUGAAUAACUUUCAAAGGGUUAUGUGCGCCUCUCGUUUCAUGCGUGUGUUCGGAAAGUUUAAAAGAGCACAAAUAAGAGAAAAACCACAAAGAAAAAUAGGGCCAUUUAGUAAUCCCGUGAAAAGGUUAGCUAGGUUAAAAGAGAAGGAAAGGCUGUUUUGUGACAUCGGUAUGCCGCGUAUUAUACCAAGGGCAAAAAUAAACCAUAAAGAAAAAUUGUUACAAGUUAUAAAACCACCAAAAGUAAAAAAAGAAGUACUAGAAAGAAGGUUAGAUUUUUUAUUGUCAAAUGAGAGUGUAUAUCAACAGUUAUAUAAUAAAAUAUAUAAUGGUAUAACACCAUAUCAGUGUGAAUUGUUUAUGUGGGAAAGACAAAUGAGAGAUUUACGGAAAAUAUACAGAGCACAAUAUAUACAUAAAUUAAGUGAAGUUACAAAUGAAGAAAGAAAUAAACAAAUAAAAUUAUUAUUACAAACUAAAGAAGAUAAAAAAAAAAGAAAAGAAAAAAUUCGAACUCGAAUUUUAGAAGAUAAAAAAAGACGAGCUAUACUAAAAGAUCGUAUAUCAUUAGAAAAAAAAGUAAAUGAAUCUAUUCUUUUUAAAAGACAAUCUAAUAUAAAAAAAAAAAAUAUUUAUUGGUUAAAUAAAUUACAAAAAAAAUGUAUGUAUUUAAAUGCAGAAGAUUUUGAAAAAAAAAUAAAUAAUAUAGAUAAAGAAAAUGUUAAAACUGAUAAGAAUGAUGGUAUGAAAAAUGUUUUAGGUUUGACUAAAAAAGGUAACACAACGAAUGGUUCUAUUAAAAGUAAUAACAUAAACUAUCAAACAGAUGAUAGUGGCAAUUAUAGCGGAAGUGAUAACAGUAGUGAUAAAGAUAUUUUAUUUAAUCGUAAUAUUUCAACUAGUGCAUUAUACAAAGACCUAGGAUAUAAUAUAAGAGAAGAUAAAGAAUAUAAUAGUAGUAAUUUUAAAAUAGAUAAAGUUUAUAGGAAAUUAUUGGAAGAAUCUUUUGAAUUUUUAGAAGAGGAUGCAGAUCAAUACGAAGAAGAAAAAAUUGAUCAAAAUGAUUCCAAUUCUAGUAUUGAUGGUUAUAAUAAUAAUGUAUCACAUUUAAAAAGAGCAAAAAUUUUAUAUUCUUCUUUUAGUAAUGAUGAAAAAUUAAAACUUUUAGAUGAAAAAAUAGCUAUUAUAACUAAAAUAAUUGAAGAAAAAUCAUUUGCUAAAGGUAUAGAAAAUAAUAAUAUAAUGUUUUAUAUUCAAUUAAAAGAUAAAUUAGAGGCUUCAAAACAAUCAUUCUUAGAAAAAAACUAUUUAGAAAAUGUAAAUGAUAAAUUAAGCUAG